UGAGGAAUAUUGGUCAAUGGACGGAAGUCUGAACCAGCCAAGUAGCGUGCAGGAUGACGGCCCUAUGGGUUGUAAACUGCUUUUGUAUGGGGAUAAAGUUAGGGACGUGUCCCUAUUUGCAGGUACCAUACGAAUAAGGACCGGCUAAUUCCGUGCCAGCAGCCGCGGUAAUACGGAAGGUCCAGGCGUUAUCCGGAUUUAUUGGGUUUAAAGGGAGCGUAGGCUGGAGAUUAAGUGUGUUGUGAAAUGUAGACGCUCAACGUCUGAAUUGCGGCGCAUACUGGUUUCCUUGAGUACGCACAACGUUGGCGGAAUUCGUCGUGUAGCGGUGAAAUGCUUAGAUAUGACGAAGAACUCCGAUUGCGAAGGCAGCUGACGGGAGCGCAACUGACGCUUAAGCUCGAAGGUGCGGGUAUCAAACAGGAUUAGAUACCCUGGUAGUCCGCACAGUAAACGAUGGAUGCCCGCUGUUGGUACCUGGUAUCAGCGGCUAAGCGAAAGCAUUAAGCAUCCCACCUGGGGAGUACGCCGGCGGU
rnacentral:rRNA from 1 species